AAUUAAAAAAAAAAAAGUAGUUAUUGAAAACCAAACAAAACGUUAGGGUUGAUAUUGUAACAUUUAAAGUAUGAGAUUCAAUUUGCAAUAAUCCCCAAAGUUUGAAAUGCUUAGUACAACUAUCCCUUUACUUAAAAUGAGCUCCAAGUGAAGGCCAUGGAGGCCUUGUUCCUUGCUUUAAGAGGAAAGCUAUUUCCUCCUUACAUUAGGAAGACGGCCCCCUCAUGUGUUCUUCACAAAUAAUGUGGAACUAAGUCCACAUCCAUUUCUCUUCCUUUUUUCCUCUCAAUUUUUUUUAUCAGGGUCCUAUAUUUUAUAGCUAAUAUCUUUUAUUCUAGAGCUCCAUUUCAGCUAUGACCUAUCACUACUACAAUGAUCCCUCAAUGUACUACAAUCUAGAAUCAAAUUUAUUAGCAAAAUUAUGAAUUGAAGUAAUCUAAAAUUGGUUGAUGACAAAACUCUCUUCUAACUUUAAAAGGCUAAAUAAAUAAGCAUAAAAAAGCUCAAAAAAAAGCAGAUACACAAACACAACUAAGCCUACCUCACUUACAUUCAUGUUUAGUUCAUUUAUUAAACAGGUCUAAAUUUUUAUUCAACACUGUCUAUUUAUCUCAGCAAAAGAACAUCAAUAAGCUUUUUUCCAAACCUAUUCACAAGCUGUUCACUAAGCAUAAUGGUUGUUUACAGCCCUAAUAUCAACUAUCAACUUAUAUAUAAUUAUCUAAAGUAAUCAAGAUGGCACAGCAGAAAAUUCCAAAGUUAAGUUAUAAUUUCCUUUCCACUUCUAGUUGUAUUCAAUCCAUCAUCUUUCUUUUUUUCUUAUCCUUUUUUGAGAAAAAGGUGAUUUGCUUAUGGAGAAGAUUUGGGAAAUAGAAACAACCGUCAGAGAAAUAAAAUGAUGUGAUAGCCAAUAGCAUCCUAAAGUAAAAGACAAUUGUUAAAGAAGGCAUGGAUUCCAACAACAAUAAUGAUUUUGAAAUGAAUGAAUCUUCCAGAGUUGUUGACCCUUUAUUCUCUUUCCUUUUUUUUUAGGCACAGAUUUUUUUAUAUCCAACUUAGUUGAAGAGCACAAAAAAAAAGUGAGAAUUCUAUAACUGAUGGCACACAGAAGAAAUAGUAACAGUA
rnacentral:misc_RNA from 1 species